rnacentral:tRNA from 1 species
GCCCGAGUAGUUCAAAUGGAUAGAACAACGCUCUCCUAAGGCGUGUGUUGUGGGUUCAAGUCCUGCCUCGGGCA